GUGGCGGUGAAUGGUAAACUGGUGGUGGUGGAGGUGGCGAAACAUAAAUUACUGGUGCUGGUGGUGGUGAUGGCGAUGGCGGGGGCUUAUAAUGAGUUGGCGGUGGAGGUGAAGGCAAUGGAGGUGGGGGCGAAUAUUCUACACAUGGUGGCGGUGGAGGGGGAGGUGGUUCUAUACAAGGGGGUGGGGAUGGAGGUGGUGGCAAAUGGACUGGUGGAGGUGGCGGGGGAGAUUGGUAUGGAUAAAUAGGAGGUGGGGGUGAAUGUGGCGGUGGAGGUGGUUCUAUACAAGGGGGUGGGGAUGGAGGUGGUGGUGAAUGGACUGGUGGAGGUGGCGGGGGAGAUUGGUAUGGAUAAAUAGGAGGUGGGGGUGAAUGUGGCGGUGGAGGUGGUGGUGAGCUAUAAAUGUAAGGGUUUGGCGGUGGUGAGGAGUACAGUGGAGGAGGUGGUGGAGGAGAAUUUGGCGGAGGUGGUGGAGGGCGGACACAAUACGGUGGUGGUGGAGAAGAGUAAACAGGAGGGGGCGGGGGUGAUGGUGAUGGAGGAGGAGGCGGAGGCAAGUAUACAGGCGGGGGUGGUGGCGGAGGAGGAGGUGGUGGGGGUGGAGAGUAAACUGGCGGGGGUGGUGAAGGAGGUGGAGGCGGGGGAGAGUAGACUGGCGGAGGUGGCGAAGGAGGUGGGGGUGGUGGAGGAGGAGGUGGCAAGUAUACUGGUGGUGGUGGUGACG
rnacentral:lncRNA from 1 species